rnacentral:rRNA from 1 species
UGCAGUCGACGAUGAGCCCAGCUUGCUGGGUGGAUUAGUGGCGAACGGGUGAGUAACACGUGAGUAACCUGCCCUUAACUCUGGGAUAAGCCUGGGAAACUGGGUCUAAUACCGGAUAGGAGCGUCCACCGCAUGGUGGGUGUUGGAAAGAUUUAUCGGUUUUGGAUGGACUCGCGGCCUAUCAGCUUGUUGGUGAGGUAAUGGCUCACCAAGGCGACGACGGGUAGCCGGCCUGAGAGGGUGACCGGCCACACUGGGACUGAGACACGGCCCAGACUCCUACGGGAGGCAGCAGUGGGGAAUAUUGCACAAUGGGCGAAAGCCUGAUGCAGCGACGCCGCGUGAGGGAUGACGGCCUUCGGGUUGUAAACCUCUUUCAGUAGGGAAGAAGCGAAAGUGACGGUACCUGCAGAAGAAGCACCGGCUAACUACGUGCCAGCAGCCGCGGUAAUACGUAGGGUGCGAGCGUUAUCCGGAAUUAUUGGGCGUAAAGAGCUCGUAGGCGGUUUGUCGCGUCUGUCGUGAAAGUCCGGGGCUUAACCCCGGAUCUGCGGUGGGUACGGGCAGACUAGAGUGCAGUAGGGGAGACUGGAAUUCCUGGUGUAGCGGUGGAAUGCGCAGAUAUCAGGAGGAACACCGAUGGCGAAGGCAGGUCUCUGGGCUGUAACUGACGCUGAGGAGCGAAAGCAUGGGGAGCGAACAGGAUUAGAUACCCUGGUAGUCCAUGCCGUAAACGUUGGGCACUAGGUGUGGGGACCAUUCCACGGUUUCCGCGCCGCAGCUAACGCAUUAAGUGCCCCGCCUGGGGAGUACGGCCGCAAGGCUAAAACUCAAAGGAAUUGACGGGGGCCCGCACAAGCGGCGGAGCAUGCGGAUUAAUUCGAUGCAACGCGAAGAACCUUACCAAGGCUUGACAUGUUCUCGAUCGCCGUAGAGAUACGGUUUCCCCUUUGGGGCGGGUUCACAGGUGGUGCAUGGUUGUCGUCAGCUCGUGUCGUGAGAUGUUGGGUUAAGUCCCGCAACGAGCGCAACCCUCGUUCCAUGUUGCCAGCACGUAAUGGUGGGGACUCAUGGGAGACUGCCGGGGUCAACUCGGAAGGAAGGUGAGGACGACGUCAAAUCAUCA